rnacentral:rRNA from 1 species
UACGUAGGGGGCCAGCGUUGUUCGGAAUUACUGGGCGUAAAGGGCGCGUAGGCGGUCUGUUAAGUUCGGUGUGAAAGCCCCCGGCUCACCUGGGGAACUGCGCCGGAAACCGACAGACUCGAGUACCGGAGAGGAGGGUGGAAUUCCUGGUGUGAGCGGUGAAAGUGACGUAGAUAUCAGGAGGAACACCGGUGGCGAAGGCGGCCCUCUGGACGGAUACUGACGCUGAGGCGCGAAAGCGUGGGGAGGUC